rnacentral:tRNA from 1 species
CAGAAUGUAGCUUAUUUAAAGCUUAUUAUUUACAUUAAUUUGAAAAUUUUUAUUCUUUCUGA